UUCCAGACUCCUACGGGAGGCAGCAGUGGGGAAUAUUGGGCAAUGGGCGCAAGCCUGACCCAGCAACGCCGCGUGAAGGAAGAAGGCUUUCGGGUUGUAAACUUCUUUUCUUGGGGACGAAGAAAGUGACGGUACCCAAGGAAUAAGCCACGGCUAACUACGUGCCAGCAGCCGCGGUAAUACGGAGGAUGCGAGCGUUAUCCGGAUUUAUUGGGUUUAAAGGGUGCGCAGGCGGUCUGUUAAGUCAGCGGUCAAAGCCCGGGGCUCAACCCCGUCCGGCCGUUGAAACUGGGGGCCUUGGGUGGGCGAGAAGAAGGCGGAAUGCGUGGUGUAGCGGUGAAAUGCAUAGAUAUCACGCAGAACCCCGAUUGCGAAGGCAGCCUUCCGGCGCCCUACUGACGCUGAGGCACGAAAGUGCGGGGAUCGAACAGGAUUAGAUACCCUAGUACA
rnacentral:rRNA from 1 species